UAAUUAUAUUGCAUCUACACAGCUCAUCA
rnacentral:piRNA from 1 species